rnacentral:rRNA from 1 species
AUUGAACGCUGGCGGCAGGCCUAACACAUGCAAGUCGAGCGGAGCGGCGGACGGGUGCGUAAUGCCUAGGAAUCUGCCUGGUAGUGGUGGCUAACGUCCGGACACGGGCGCUAAUACCGCAUACUAUCAGAUUAGCCUAGGUCGGAUUGGCUAGUUGGUGGGGUAAUGGCCUACUAAGGCGACGAUGCGUAUCUGGUCUGAGAGGGUGAUCAGUCACACGGGAACUGAGACACGGUCCAGACUCCUACGGGAGGCAGCAGUGGGGAAUAUUGGACAAUGGGCGAAAGCCUGAUCCAGCCAUGCCGCGUGUGUGAAGAAGGUCUUCGGACUGUAAAGCACUUUAAGUUGGGAGGCGUUACCAACAGAAGAAGCACCGGCUAACUACGUGCCAGCAGCCGCGGUAAUUC